CUGGGAGCGGCGCGGGCCCUUUCUCACGCCCGCGCACGGCGGAGCGCGCAGGCGCGAUCGCACGGGCCCGGCGCCGGAAAGAUGCCGGUGGACAGCGUGCUGGGGCAGUGCGCGGGCUUGGGGACCGCUGUGCGGGACGGGCUUGGCGCUUGCAGCUCGUCCUGUCAGGGACGGGGUGGCAGGGUGAUGGCUGAAGGUGGAGCAUGCAGUUCAGUGAAUCACAAACGAAAGGACUAGAAUCCACGUGGGGCAGAAGUGCUUUGUAAGUUCCUCUGAAAUUAAGCUUUUGUUCGAAGCCACCUGGCCGGCUUCCAGUUCAUCCCAGAGUUGCUCAGAGCACAGCAGAGCAGGGUAAGGCCGGGCAGGGAUGCGCUGCGGCUGCCAGGGCAUCUCAAGGCUCCUCAGAAAGGCACUGCUUUGGACCGCGGCUCGGACGGACUCUGACACGGCAGAAGGCCGCUUCGAGCUCCCCAGCUGCUGGAGGGAAGCUGCGGGGGGCGCUGUCCUCCCUGGUGGGGACCCACGGGGCCCAUGGUGGAAGAGCUGCCUCGGGAGCCCGCGCGCCAGUGCUCUAUGUGCAGGUACGUGCAUUUCAAAGCAUCUGAAUCUGGGUCUGCACUGCCACAGGGGGUAGACUGUAUAUCCUGCCACUUCUCCUGGAAGCCAGAGGAAAGCAGUGCGACGGGGCUAUGGGAGGCUCAAGUCCAGGCCGAAGGCGCCACCGUCGCUGGGACUGUACCCACACAAGACCGCCAGCAUUACGGCAACUCUCUAGUUUUUUUCUGUUUGUUUUUUUCCUUUGUGUUUUGAAAAACAGUCUCAAGUUCAGAGAGACUAAGCUGCUUGCUCCGGGCAGUAUAUCUGUCAUCAAAGCUGAGUGAUGUGAACGAAACCUAAUGCAGAAAUAAUCCCAGUGAUCCAACA